GACGAACGCUGGCGGCGUGCUUAACACAUGCAAGUCGAGCGGUAAGGCCCUUUCGGGGGUACACGAGCGGCGAACGGGUGAGUAACACGUGGGUGACCUGCCCUCAGUUCCGGGAUAAGCCUGGGAAACCGGGUCUAAUACUGGAUAUGACCUCAUGACGCAUGUUGUGGGGUGGAAAGCCUUGUGCGACUGAGGAUGGGCCCGCGGCCUAUCAGCUUGUUGGUGGGGUGAUGGCCACCAAGGCGACGACGGGUAGCCGGCCUGAGAGGGCGACCGGCCACACUGGGACUGAGACACGGCCCAGACUCCUACGGGAGGCAGCAGUGGGGAAUCUUGCGCAAUGGGCGAAAGCCUGACGCAGCGACGCCGCGUGAGGGAUGACGGCCU
rnacentral:rRNA from 1 species